rnacentral:rRNA from 1 species
UACGUAGGGGGCAAGCGUUGUCCGGAUUUAUUGGGCGUAAAGAGCGUGUAGGCGGCUAGGUAGGUCCGUUGUGAAAACUCGAGGCUCAACCUCGAGACGCCGAUGGAAACCAUCUAGCUAGAGUCCGGAAGAGGAGAGUGGAAUUCCUGGUGUAGCGGUGAAAUGCGCAGAUAUCAGGAAGAACACCAAUGGCGAAAGCAGCUCUCUGGGACGGUACUGACGCUGAGACGCGAAAGCGUGGGGAGCGAACAGG